rnacentral:rRNA from 1 species
GAUGAACGCUGGCGGCGUGCCUAAUACAUGCAAGUCGAGCGAACAGACGAGGAGCUUGCUCCUCUGACGUUAGCGGCGGACGGGUGAGUAACACGUGGAUAACCUACCUUUAAGACUGGGAUAACUUCGGGAAACCGGAGCUAAUACCGGAUAAUAUAUUGAACCGCAUGGUUCAAUAGUGAAAGACGGUUUUGCUGUCCCUUAUAGAUGGUUCCGCGCCGCAUUAGCUAGUUGGUAAGGUAACGGCUUACCAAGGCAACGAUGCGUAGCCGACCUGAGAGGGUGAUCGGCCACACUGGAACUGAGACACGGUCCAGACUCCUACGGGAGGCAGCAGUAGGGAAUCUGCCGCAAUGGGCGAAAGCCUGACGGAGCAACGCCGCGUGAGUGAUGAAGGUCUUCGGAUCGUAAAACUCUGUUAUUAGGGAAGAACAAAUGUGUAAGUAACUAUGCACGUCUUGACGGUACCUAAUCAGAAAGCCACGGCUAACUACGUG